GAGUUUGAUCGUGGCUCAGAUUGAACGCUGGCGGCAGGCCUAACACAUGCAAGUCGAGCGGUAGAGAGAAGCUUGCUUCUCUUGAGAGCGGCGGACGGGUGAGUAAUGCCUAGGAAUCUGCCUGGUAGUGGGGGAUAACGCUCGGAAACGGACGCUAAUACCGCAUACGUCCUACGGGAGAAAGCAGGGGACCUUCGGGCCUUGCGCUAUCAGAUGAGCCUAGGUCGGAUUAGCUAGUUGGUGAGGUAAUGGCUCACCAAGGCGACGAUCCGUAACUGGUCUGAGAGGAUGAUCAGUCACACUGGAACUGAGACACGGUCCAGACUCCUACGGGAGGCAGCAGUGGGGAAUAUUGGACAAUGGGCGAAAGCCUGAUCCAGCCAUGCCGCGUGUGUGGAGAAGGUCUUCGGAUUGUAAAGCACUUUAAGUUGGGAGGAAGGGCAGUAAAUUAAUACUUUGCUGUUUUGACGUUACCGACAGAAUAAGCACCGGCUAACUCUGUGCCAGCCGCCG
rnacentral:rRNA from 1 species